AGUGAACGCUGGCGGUAGGCCUAACACAUGCAAGUCGAACGGCAGCACAGUAAGAGCUUGCUCUUACGGGUGGCGAGUGGCGGACGGGUGCGGAAUACACCGGAAUCUACUUUUUCGUGGGGGAUAACGUAGGGAAACUUACGCUAAUAUCGCAUACGACCUACGGGUGAAAGCAGGGGAUUUUUGGACCUUGCGCGUUUGAAUGAGCCGAUGUCGGAUUAGCUAGUUGGCGGGGUAAAGGCCCACCAAGGCGACGAUCCGUAGCUGGUCUGAGAGGAUGAUCAGCCACACGGGAACUGAGACACGGUCCAGACUCCUACGGGAGGCAGCAGUGGGGAAUUUUGGACAAUGGGCGCAAGCCUGAUCCAGCCAUACCGCGUGGGUGAAGAAGGCCUUCGGGUUGUAAAGCGCUUUUGUAGGGAAAGAAAAGCAUCAGGUUAAUACCCCGCUGUUCUGACGGUACCCAAAGAAUAAGCACCGGCUAACUUCGUG
rnacentral:rRNA from 1 species